rnacentral:rRNA from 1 species
GUCGUAACAAGGUUUCCGUAGGUGAACCUGCGGAAGGAUCAUUAUUGAAUAAAACUUGGUUGGGUUGCUGCUGGCCCCUCGGGGCAUGUGCACGCCCGGCAAACCAUUUUUAACCACCUGUGCACCCUUUGUAGACCUGGAUAACCCCUCGAGGAAACUCGGUUUGAGGACCGCCGCGCGAAAGCCGGCCCUCCUUGCUCUUCCGGUCUAUGUUUUCACAUACCCCACAAGAAUGUAACAGAAUGUCAUUGAAUGGCCUUUGUGCCUUUAAUCAAAUACAACUUUCAACAACGGAUCUCUUGGCUCUCGCAUCGAUGAAGAACGCAGCGAAAUGCGAUAAGUAAUGUGAAUUGCAGAAUUCAGUGAAUCAUCGAAUCUUUGAACGCACCUUGCGCUCCUUGGUAUUCCGAGGAGCAUGCCUGUUUGAGUGUCAUUAAAUUCUCAACCUUUCCGGCUUUUGCUAGCUGUGUCAGGCUUGGACGUGGGGGCUGCGGGCUUCUUUCGAGAAGUCGGCUCUCCUUAAAUGCAUUAGUGAGACCUCUGGUUGACCAUCUCUGGUGUGAUAAUUAUCUACGCCGCUGAGAAUCAGCCUUCAUCAUGGGGUCCUGCUCUCUAACCGUCCUCUUCGAGGACAACUCCUGACAUUUUGACCUCAAAUCAGGUAGGACUACCCGCUGAACUUAAGCAUAUCAAUAAGCGGAGGAAAAGAAACUAAC